GGCCUAUCUCCUAAGCCUAGCCACCAUGUGAAACACUUUAAGCCUGACUGCAGACUGCAGUCACAGUCUAAGCUGACCUCAGACAGCUGUUGGAAGAGUGGUUACCUUGCCUUUCUGCUCCAUGCCUGCUGCUGUGUGGACUGGCCCUGCUCAAUGAUGGAUCCAAAAAUUAGUCUGAAGUAGAAAAGGAUAAGAUUUAGGUUGGAUCUGCACCCUGAGGCUCUGGGGUUGCUGGGUCCAACUUGAAGGAGAAUGUACAAAUCUGUGAUCAGAGGAGCAGGAGGGGAAGGUGAUUUGUCUCUUGGGCAGCUGCUACUUGUCAAGUUGGCAUCAGCCAUUUGUGAGCACUGAAGGGAUCACCUGCUCUGUGGAGAAGACAUCUGACUGAGCCAUGCAGGGGCAUUUGGCAGGUAUAUUAUGCUUUGACAAACAUGUUGACACCUUUCCUUAAAUUUUACAUGGCAAUGAAAGGAUUUUGCAUUUCAUUUCUGCAAUGAUAUUCCUUUGACUCUAAGAGUGCUUUUGCAGUCUGGCAAAGCACAGAUCUGACGAGGCUAGGGUGUGAAACUAGGGAACUGACGCAAACCAGGGGGACCCAGGCUGAUUGCCUCCUGGGCUGAACUGCAAGGACGAGCUUGUUGAGGAGGUGCGAGCACAAGGUGUUAGUUUGUGAAAGAUCCCUCCCACCAGCAGGUGUUUGCCAUGGAAGGUGAGCAGGCCAUGUUGAGUCACAGGGUGCUGUGAGGCGCAGCCUGCAUCAUCUGGGCAGCGAGGGGGUGUUCCUGCGUGUCCAUGGCAUGGCUGCAGGCUCAGGGCUGCGCAGGCCAGCCAAGAGCUGGGCCAUCCAAGUCCAGCAGCACCUUCUCUACUGGAACAAGCUGCUGUGGAAGCUUCUUUGACUCAAUCUGCAAUUGGAUCUGCAGUGCUCCAUGCCUAAAGAGCUUAGAAUCCCAAGCUCCCCUAUAAAUAGCUAGUCUCUAGAUGAUAGAGGGAUAACCUGUGUUCAAGAAAAUAAUUCAUUCUGAAGAGUUUUGAUAACUUCAAGCAUAACUUCAACAUUACUGUCAUAAUAAAUGUUUGCAAAAGCCACUUGGUGACCUAACU
rnacentral:lncRNA from 1 species